CGAGUGGGGCUUGGAAGAUUCUUCCAUAUUCUAGACACUCGUCUUCUGUUUGGUAUGUGGCCUGCGAGUAUUUUCUCCAAGCCUGUAGUCUGUCUUUCUACCCUCUUAGCAAAAAUCUGUUUACAAAAACUCUCAUGUGAUCAAUCAAAUCUUGGCAAAGCCCGACUCAGGAAGUGAGAAGAGUGACAGGGCCACAUGAGAGAGAUUAAACGACACUUUUCCUGUUUUUAUAGAAGUUUGGCUGGAUUCCCAAAGCCGAGAACGAUUGCGGAUAAUGGCCGUGCCUUUAAAACCUAGGGGAGCUGGACGCACGCAGGCAGGAUUUACCAAGAGGUGCCAAAAUAGUCCACCACCAUCCCUCCCUGCCUCUGAAGGGGAUGCUUCCCUGCAACCCACUGGCCAGAUGCUGGAGUCCAAAGGGAACCACAGUAGAGAUGGGAGUGUCUGCGAAGGGGGGACGACAGGCAUGUCACUACCGGGCCAGAGGAAAUCUAGCCAAGAAGCAGUCUUCGCUUCUUAGCACCAACAGGCAUUACGAGCCUGUUCACUUCAGCAUCGUUAAUCCAGUUGAAGGAUCCGCAGCUCAAAAAGGCAUCACCAGGGGAGUCAUUUAACGGGCCGUUAAACAGAAGGACGUGGUGUGCGAAAACCCUCAAGACCCAUUUUUCUUCUAAGUUCCAGUCUUUCUCUCUCUCUCUCUCCCCUCUCUUUUUUAAAAGUUUAUGUCUUUGGA